rnacentral:rRNA from 1 species
UACGUAGGGUGCGAGCGUUAAUCGGAAUUACUGGGCGUAAAGCGUGCGCAGGCGGUUCGUUGUGUCGGCGGUGAAGUCCCCGGGCUCAACCUGGGAAUGGCCGUUGAAACUGGCGAACUGGAGUGUGGCAGAGGGGGGUGGAAUUCCGCGUGUAGCAGUGAAAUGCGUAGAGAUGCGGAGGAACACCGAUGGCGAAGGCAAUCCCCUGGGCCUGCACUGACGCUCAUGCACGAAAGCGUGGGGAGCAAACAGG